UACAGAGGUCUCAAGCGUUGUUCGGAUUCAUUGGGCGUAAAGGGUGCGUAGGUGGCGCGGUAAGUCGGGUGUGAAAUCUCGGAGCUUAACUCCGAAAUUGCAUUCGAUACUGCCGUGCUUGAGGACUGGAGAGGAGACUGGAAUUUACGGUGUAGCAGUGAAAUGCGUAGAGAUCGUAAGGAAGACCAGUGGCGAAGGCGGGUCUCUGGACAGUUCCUGACACUGAGGCACGAAGGCCAGGGGAGCAAACCGG
rnacentral:rRNA from 1 species